CUAAGAAUAUUCCGCAAUGGACGAAAGUCUGACGGAGCGACGCCGCGUGAACGACGAAGGUGGAAACAUUGUAAAGUUCUUUUAAUUGAGAGGAAUAAGCUUUGUAGGAAAUGACAGAGUGGUGACUGUAUCAAUUGAAUAAGCAACGGCUAAUUACGUGCCAGCAGCCGCGGUAACACGUAAGUUGCGAGCGUUGUUCGGAAUUAUUGGGCGUAAAGGGCAUGUAGGCGGUUCUGAAAGCUUGGUGUGAAAUUCCGGGGCUCAACUCCGGAACUGCAUUGAGAACUGCAGGACUAGAAUUACUGAAGGGUAGCUAGAAUUCCAAGUGUAGGGGUGAAAUCUGUAGAUAUUUGGAAGAAUACCAAUGGCGAAGGCAAGCUACUGGCAGAUAAUUGACGCUGAGGUGCGAAGGUGCGGGGAGCAAACAGG
rnacentral:rRNA from 2 species